rnacentral:rRNA from 1 species
GACAGAGGGUGCAAACGUUGUUCGGAAUUACUGGGCGUAAAGCGUGCGCAGGCGGCCUUGCAAGUCGGGCGUGAAAUCCCACGGCUCAACCGUGGAAAUGCACUCGAAACUGCUUGGCUAGAGUCUUGGAGAGGAAGGCGGAAUGCUUGGUGUAGAGGUGAAAUUCGUAGAUAUGGGGAGGAACACCGGUGGCGAAGGCGGUCACCUGGACGGAUACUGACGCUGAGACGCGAAAGCGUGGGGAGCAAACAGG